CAGCUCUAUUCUGAUUGGCUGGAACAAAGGUCUCAUUCUCGCUGCCCGCGGGCCAAUUGUGGCCCGCAGGAUGAUAUCCUGUGGCCCCCACUGUGAUA